ensembl:snRNA Gm24464 predicted gene, 24464
GUGCUCGCUUUGGCAGCACAUAUACUAAAAUUGGAACGAUACAGAGAAGAUUAACAUGGCCCCCUGCACAAGGAUGACACGCAAAUUUGUGAAGCGUUCCAUAUUUUU